GCAAUUUGCUUGAAUGUAACCUAUAUUUCUGAUACAGAAACUUUGAAUACAGGUCAAAUUGGACCCGAGGACAACAGAAGGGUUAAAGAUAGAUAUUU